rnacentral:rRNA from 1 species
AACUUUCAACAACGGAUCUUUUGGUUCUGGCAUCGAUGAAGAACGCAGCGAAAUGCGAUAAGUAAUGUGAAUUGCAGAAUUCAGUGAACCAUCGAAUCUUUGAACGCACAUUGCGCCCGCCAGCCCUCUGGCGGGCAUGCCUGUCCGAGCGUCAUCU